CAUGUCUUUUGUAAUACAGGUCUUGUUGGAAGGACUCAUUGGCUGCUAAAUUGCAACUUGCUAACAUCAGUUUUAAAAGAAAUAAUAAAGUAAAACAUAAUUCCAUGUGCUGCAAAAUUAUAAGCCUAAACCUGAGGAAACUGUCAUUUUUUUUCUCUAACAUUGAACAGCCACAAUGCUGAAGACGGCCUUGGUAUUUUUCUCAUAUGAACAGAGUAGUAAAAGCUUGCAAACAUUGAACUCUUUACACAUAAAAUAUACAUCUGCUCUCAAACUCUCAUAUUCAGUACAUUUCCCUGCCUGCUUUAUAUACGUUUGUUCCAAAAAUCUAAAACAAAGUCAGGUUCACAUUGAAAUAAAAUUUACAUUCCUUGGUGCAUAGCAUAUUAAAUCUUUUUCCAGAACAAACAAGCCUGACACUUAAAAACAACCUUUAUUUAAAUGCAAAGGUGGAUUAAGACUAAUUAUAUUCUUAUCUAUAUUUCCCACACCCCAGGGAUUUAGGCCCACUUUCCUCUGACAUACGCUUACCUCAUAUUUGCAGUGCUCUAAAUUCACUCUUCCUCCUACCUGACAUUCCUCUGUUCUCUUUCCCAGUCACUUCUCAGAGGCCUCAAACUCAGCAUCCAAGACCUGGACUGGCUGGGCUGAGCUGGGCCGUGACAAUACGGUGGCUGACUUCCUGUCUUGGUGUCAUCUGGCAGAGGAUCAUGAAGAGCAACACACCGCCCAUUUGGGGAAAGAGAGGCCUGCCAGGGAAGAGACAGCAGUGGGGGAAGAGAGCUUUUUAUGCCAGCAUCCAAAUCAUCAAUAUACAUGUUGAGCAGCACCGGGCCCAGGAGACACCCAUGUGGUACACCACUUGAAACCUCCUGACAUUUUUACAUGAACCUGUUAAUAAUUAUCCUUUUUUUGUGACUAUUGUGCCAGCUAUCUGUCCAGUCCACCUUAUGGUAAUUUUCUCUAGCCAAUAUUUGUUUAUGAGAAGGUUCUGCGGGACCCUGUCAGAAGCCUUUCUGAAGUCCAGAUAUACUAUAUACAUAUCAUCCCCUUCAUCUGUCUCAAUGGAGACGAUAAAGUUUGUUUGACAUGAUUUGUUUUUCAUAAAUCCAUACUGGCUGCUUGUGAUCAGCCUUUCCUCCUCCAAAUGCUUGCAAAGAGUAUUUUUUAGGAUAUCUUCCAGUUACUUCCUGGGUAUUGAGGUAAGGCUAACCAGUCUGUGGUCACUGGGUCCUCCUUUUUGACUUUUUUAAUGAAAUGCACUACACUGACUCUUUUUCAAUCCUUUGGUACCUGGCUUGUCUCCCACAACUUCAUAAAGAUCAUUGUCAAGGAAUCCAAGAUCACCUCUGUUACUAGUUUCUUCAGUACUCUAGGAUGAAACCCACCUUGCCCUGAUGACCAAGGAUCCUGGUUUUCUCUGAUAAAAAAUAAAUCCCCAACGUUGGGGUAAAAAAAUGUAAACCAAAAUCCACAUUUUUCCAUAAUCAAAAUGAAACACCACUACAUACAUACAUACAUACAUACAUACAUACAUACAUACAUUAGUGGCAUGCAUUUUCAUUUUACUAACCCCAAAAUGUGGAUUUUGGGUUCCUUUUUUAACCCCCAAAUUGGGGAUUUUUUAAAUCAGAAAAUCAGGAUCCCUGCUAAUGACUUGAAUUCAUUCAGAGCCAACAAAAGCUCUCUUUCUUGUUGUCUGCUCCCUCAGCUUGCCCCAUCCAUAUCCAGAUAACCCUUAUUAAGUGUGUGUCUGCAGCUUAAUUUUUUUGUGAAGACGCAGGCAAAGUAGUUGUUGAGUAGCUCUGCGUUCUUCGCAUUUUCUGUUAGGAGUCCCCCCCUGGCUUGUUAACAGAGGACCCACAGCUUCCUUGCUCCUUCUUUUCUGGCCAGCAUACUUAUAGAACCAUUUCUUGUUGUCCUUAACCUCUUUCGCAAGGUGCAGCUCAUUCUUAAAUUUUGCUUUCCUGAUUUUGUCCCUUCAGGUUCUUCCUAUUUCCUGAUACAUGUCCUUGGUGACCUGCCCAGUGUUCCAUUGCCUGUAUGCUUUCCUGUUGCAUUUAAGGUAUUUGCUCCUCAUGUAGCUACAUUGGCUCUUGCCAUUAUUUUUCCAGUACAGUUUCUUGUUAGGAUUCCAUUACUGUGACUUUGAGAAGCCCCAAGCCCUUCUGGCUGCCUUUAUCCUUCAAUCUAUGCUCCCAUGACACCGUGCCCAUUAACUCCUUAAGUUGGAUGAAAUCAGCUUUUUGAGAUCUAGCAUCCUAAGUUUAUUGACCUCAUGCUUUCUUUGAGUUAGGAUCUGGAAUUCUAUUGUAUCGUGAUCACUUCUUCUCAAGUUGCCCAUUAUCUUCACAUACUCCACCAGUUCUUCCCUGCUGGUCAGGACAACAUGCUUGAAUAUAUUGCUGAGGAUGGUAAGUUUAUCACUAGAGUUGGCCUCAUUUUCUGUAACUUCGUCAUUGAAGUCAGAAAUAAAGAUUUACCCACUGACUUUCUUUUGUAAAUUCUGGCUCUUAAUAAUUAAGCAAAAUAUUUUGUAAAAUAUUAAAAUUACCUCUAUAGUUGUUUAAUUGAACAUUAUUUUUAGAGUGACUAAUAUAUACUCAAAUUACAGACCAAAAGAAGAAUUAGUUACCACAUAUAAUUAAUUCAACAUGAUUCUGCAAAACCAUUUUUAAGUUUUCCCAUUGUUAAGUGGUAUUUUUACAAAUUGAGUUAGGCACCAACUUAAAGCAAUUUUGGCAGAAAAAUGGAUUUAGGAAAAAAGAUGCAAAUUAGAUUCUUGCUUUCAGGCUUUGAGUGGAUCUAAAAUCUGACAAAAGUUUUAUUAGUCUUAUAACAUACAAAGGCUUAGGUAAAUCAAAUGUGAAAGUAUAGCCCUUCCAUCACAGGGAAGAUCCUUUUACUUUCCUCCAGCUGUGUUUGGUUUAAAAUUGUACUUACUGGAUCCCUAAGACCUCACAUCCCUGUAUCUAUCCCCUUCUAUGUAAUGCUAAUAGGAACAGAUGUUCUUUCAGUAAAAUCUCAUGGCUUAAAGUUUACAUUUCUCUGAAGAAACACAGGCAUCAAGAAUUUCACAGGAGAUAAAAUACGGAAACUACAGAUGCAGGGAUCUAUUUGCUCAGACGAAAUCCUGGCUUUAUUGAAGUCUAUGUUAAAGCUCUCAUUGACUUAUUAGAGCCAAAUUUUACUCCAGGAAUAAAACUGUGGAAAAUAAGUAUUUCUAAACCUCAUUGGAAAAGUUUCUGAACACUGAGUACUGUUUGCCUGAAACCCAGAGGUGACAAAUCAGCUUGAAACUAUUCAUCCUUUACUUUAUACAUAUACUGAACACAAGACAAAAUAGACAUGACAAAUAGAGGGCAUGUUAAUUGCCCCCUUCUUUUGACCUAUUCUUUAAAAAUAACUAUUUCUUUCAAGCCUUAAAGAUGACUCAGGUGGGAAACAUUUUAUUUUAGAUGACAAGUUUACUAAAAAUCCUGCCACUUCCUUUAUAUUGCCUCUGACUUAGCUCUGUUUGAGUCUUAAAAACCCACUCUUUGAUGGGUUCUACACAGUGCAUGGUUUUGACCCUAGCACUGCUACUGGUCUGAGAUGAGUACUGUGAUGUUUUGAAUAUCUGCAAUUUAUUUUUUCCUGAAAAAAGAAAAAUAGCAUGGAUACUGUGACACUAUGGCAAACAACCAGGUUUACCAAUCCCAGUUGCCUAUUCUAAUCCUGCUUAGGUCAGGACUAAUCCAAAUAUUGGGUCAUUCAACGGUUGCCUUAUAGCCUUUGAUAAAUUCAUUGGAGAACUCAUUCUAUUUCUUAGUAGAAAUAGGUCAUUUCUCAAACUCCUUUUAAUAACUGCCAUUAAUUGUUUCCCUUAUUGACAAUAUCAGUUAGAUAUUGAAGCACAAGUAGAGCCUCUCCAGGUCUCAGUUAAAACCAGAGGGAAGCCAGAAUUAUUACUUUCUGUGCACUACGUCUACCACAAAUUAAAGAACAAAUGACGUGAAGGCAGAACACGUUGAGCUGCCUGUAAAACUCCUUUUCCUUGGUUCAGAAAUUUGUUUUCCCCAUGUACCAGUGGGUUCAGAUAAUCUCCUUGUGGAGAGAAAAGCAGGGUAAUGUAUCAGUCCUUAAGGAAGAGUGGAAUACUUGAGAUGUGUAUGCAACACCCUGGAUUACAAACUGCCCCAGUAUUUGUACAGAGAAAAACAUUCAUUUUUUAAUCAAGAAGAUAAGGUGUUAUUUGGAUUUUUCUGUCUUUCUCUCUGUUUAGCUUUUUUUUGCCUCCUUCCCAACUUUCUCAAUAAUCUGAGAGUCCAUCUUUGAAUUUGAAAAUUUUCUCAGUAAAAAUGUAAUCCAACUUGAUAUUUCUCACCAAAGCAUUUCAAUUCUGACAAAACAGAACAUUUUAAUGAAAAAAAACCAUAUUGAACAUAUUUUGAGCAGCUCUAAUUUGGCUUUUUUAAAACAAAACAUCUUUAUAAUCCCCCAUUUGUUAAUAUUUUAAUGUUUUCUGAUAUAACUGCAGUGUGGUGAUUCCUGUAAAGUUUCUGUAAAACCUUUAAAUUUCAUCAAAUCAGUAUUUUGCAAUGUAAAAUGUAAAGUAAAAAAAUAUUCAAGCACCUCUGGAACAAUGUUUGAAAUGAAGUUUCACAAACAAACAUCAAUCUUUCUAUAACAUUUCCUUCUUUGUGUAUGUUCUUGUAUCCUUAUAUGACAACUGUAGACCAUAACUCAGAAAAUAUAUUUAUAUCUUUUGAGUUUUCUAGAAACAGUAAUUCCUAAUGAUAAUUCAAAAUUACUUUAUACAUGUGUCUAUUCACCAUAGCUGAUAAACAUGACAGUUAAGAGAAGGGGAAUCCAUUUGCCAAAGUAAGAAGCUUGGUUAUCAUGUAACAUAAUUAAUGAAAUUGGGUAUCAUAACAGGGCGCACUCUCCUGCACAGCUCAAAAACGGGCAGAGAAGCUUAUAUGGCCUGGACUGACCCUUAAAUUAUAUGCUGUGAAAACAUUGCUGUUUUUGUUUUGGCCUCAGGUUUAUACUAGUAAAAAUAUAAGUUUUACUAGAAUGGAAAUACUAAUGGUCCCUUAACUACACUGAUUGAUAGUGAUAUAGCUAAUAGUGUGGGUUAAGUUAUUUUUUUCAAGUGUAAAACCAGUUAGGAAAAGAAAGAGACUUUGUGAGCUCAGAACAAAACCAGCAUUUUAAAAUACUUUUAUUUGUUUUCCUUAAAAAAGUUCUGUGUUGACUUAUUCAGUCUGUCUCCUUGUGCUAGGAUGACUUGGAGGCCUAUUUUGUUUUGUUUUCAAUCGAGAAUUUUUUGCACACCAGGCAGCAUUUUUUCCAUCCUAAAGCAGCUCUAAUUUAUGUUCAUUUAAAAAAAAAAAAUAGAGGGAGAGAUGUUAAAGAAAUGGAGCCUUUUACUUCUUGGGACAUGUUAAUGCUUUCUGAUAUAAUUGUGGUGUUUAAUAAAAUAUUAUUUCAGAAAACAAAAUGUACGAUUUUCUUUUCCUGAAAACUGUUAUAAAUGAAUAUGCUAUGUAGCUAUUACAGCAGUUAUACAAGAGCCAUAGAAAACAACCCCUCGCACAUGUAGGAACAGCCAAUAAUUAAUAAGUGCUUAGGAGUUGUGAAGGUAAGGGAUAUAAUGAAUGAAUUUUUUCUACCUUAUACAAAAAUGAAUGGGGUCUAGUUUCCCUUUAUGUGUUAUGUAAGGUAGAUUUAUUUCCCUGCAUUGAACAGGGUGAAUAGGCCUCUGUUUGUAUGGUGUUGUAUGCAUUUUGAAUAUAUUUAACAGGUAUGCAGUUUUGUAAAUCCUAUUUAUUGUUUAAUGCUAACAUUUAGCUAUCAGAAUAUUGACAUAUUUUCAGGUAGGCCAAAGGUUUCAAUUCAAAUGUAGACAUAGAUUAGGAUUAAGCCAGGGGUUAGAGUGCCAGUUCAGAAUUCAGUAGCCACUGGCGAUCCAUAGGAAGCAGUUCUCAGAAAGUUUUGAAACAGUGAAUACCUGAAAUUUGACAUAAUGGAAAAUUCACAAAUUCAGUCUUCCAAAUGAGAUCGACCCUACUUUGAGAAGCAUUGAACAUCGAUCUAAAAAAGAAGUCCAUCUUGGUUUAGCCUCUAACUCAGGGUGAAAGCAUUAGAUGUUGGAACCAAGGAUACAUGACUAAACCUCUGAAAUGUAGUGGUGGGAACAGGAGAGGGAGUAGAGAAUCAGUGCAGCAGGUGAAAGGAGUUAACUAGGUAAUGAGAGUUUGAGUUUACAUGUUGGGAUACUUUAGCUAAUUUUUUAAAUAUUAUUCUUACCAACCAGUAGUAGGAAGUAAAAGAAGGAACCACCACUACCACUUUGGUUGCAGUUCUAGUUAUGGCCGGAAGCAAAUGUUUAAACACAUACAUUGUUUAUUGUCAGAAACUCAGGUGCUUACAGAUUUUAGGCACCUGCAGAGUUAGGUGAGACGGAGUUUUGAAGAUCUGUAUUUUGCACCUAAGCAUCUACAGUGGCAACAAAGCAGCAUGUAGGCACAUACAUCCCUUUGUGGAUUGAGACAGUAACCUAAUCCUGCUUUUAUAUGUAACAAGGUAAUUUCAUCAUUUAAACGAGGUAGAUAUCCUAUUUUGGGGAAUGGAGAGGAGGCUGUAUUUGCAUUACUUUGUUAAAGACAGUUUUUCAUUAAGAUUUUUUAUUAAAAAAUAUCCUGUCCAUUCCAUAUCUCUUUCAAUAGACUUGUACAUUUUUUUCUCAGUGUCUAACCUUUUCCUCUUUUCAUUGUUGUAGUCUGUUACAGUAGCCUGCUAACAUUCAGCUCAGUGACUGUAUAUAUUUCCUUAAGAGAAAUAUGCCCACUUGAACAGUACUCUCAUUAUUGUGUGUGUGUGUGUGUGUGUGUGCGCGCGCGCGUGUGUGCAUGCGCAUAUGUGUAUAAUAUAUCAAGGACUUCAAACCCAAGAACAAGCUUUGACAAGUGAGUAAACUGGAUCUUAAAUGUGGUAUCUAAGGCAGUGGACCAACACAAUUAGCUUUG